AGAGUUUGAUCCUGGCUCAGGACGAACGCUGGCGGCGUGCUUAACACAUGCAAGUCGAACGGAAUCCAUGGUGUAGCAAUACACCGGAAGAUUUAGUGGCGAACGGGUGAGGAUCACGUGAGAAACGUGCCCCAGACUCUGGGAUAACAAUUGGAAACGAUUGCUAAUACCGGAUGACGUCGGAGAAUCGCAUGAUUCACUGACGAAAGAUAUUUCGGUUUGGGAGCGUCUCGCGGCCUAUCAGCUUGUUGGUGGGGUAAUGGCCUACCAAGGCAACGACGGGUAGCUGGUCUGAGAGGAUGAUCAGCCACACUGGGACUGAGACACGGCCCAGACUCCUACGGGAGGCAGCAGUGGGGAAUCUUGCGCAAUGGGCGAAAGCCUGACGCAGCAACGCCGCGUGCGGGAUGAAGGCCUUCGGGCUGUAAACCGCUUUCAGCAGGAACGAAAAUGACGGUACCUGCAGAAGAAGGAGCGGCCAACUACGUGCCAGCAGCCGCGGUGACACGUAGGCUCCAAGCGUUGUCCGGAUUUAUUGGGCGUAAAGAGCUCGUAGGCGGUUGAGUAAGUCGGGUGUGAAAACUCUGGGCUUAACCCGGAGACGCCAUCCGAUACUGCUCUGACUAGAGUUCAGGAGGGGAGUGGGGAAUUCCUAGUGUAGCGGUGAAAUGCGCAGAUAUUAGGAGGAACACCGGUGGCGAAGGCGCCACUCUGGACUGAAACUGACGCUGNNNAGCGAAAGCAUGGGUAGCAAACAGGAUUAGNUACCCUGGUAGUCCAUGCCGU
rnacentral:rRNA from 1 species